AAGGCGUUGGACUUAAGAUCCAUUGUACAUCUGUACGCGCAGGUUCGAACCCUGCAGUAUGC
rnacentral:tRNA from 1 species